rnacentral:tRNA from 1 species
UGGGGCAAACGGUUAGUGCAUUCAGCUGCUAACUGAAAAGUUGGUGGUUCAAGUCCACUCA